rnacentral:rRNA from 1 species
CAGCCGCCGCGGGAAUACGGAGGGAGCUAGCGUUGUUCGGAAUUACUGGGCGUAAAGCGCGCGUAGGCGGUUACUCAAGUCAGAGGUGAAAGCCCGGGGCUCAACCCCGGAACUGCCUUUGAAACUAGGUGACUAGAAUCUUGGAGAGGUCAGUGGAAUUCCGAGUGUAGAGGUGAAAUUCGUAGAUAUUCGGAAGAACACCAGUGGCGAAGGCGACUGACUGGACAAGUAUUGACGCUGAGGUGCGAAAGCGUGGGGAGCAAACAGGAUUAGAUACCCCAGUAGUCCCUGUCUCUUAUAA